rnacentral:rRNA from 1 species
GAUAAACGCUGGCGGCGCGAAACAGCAUGCAAGUCGAACGGUCCAAGUUGCUGAGCUUGCUUAUUAAACUGGAUAGUGGCAAACGGGUGAGUAACGCGUAAGUAACCUGCCCCUAAGUAGGGGAUAACUCUGAGAAAUCGGAGCUAAUACCUUAUGUGGUCCUUCGCCGCAAGGUAAAGGACUAAAGCUUUCGGGCGCUUGGGGAGGGGCUUGCGUCCUAUCAGCUUGUUGGUAGGGUAACGGCUUACCAAGGCGACGACGGGUAGCUGGUCUGAGAGGAUGUCCAGCCACAUGGGGACUGAGACACGGUCCUGACUCCUACGGGAGGCAGCAGCAAGGAAUAUUGUGCAAUGGGCGAAAGCCUGACACAGCGACGCCGCGUGGGGGAAGAAGGCCUUCGGGUUGUAAACCCCUUUUCUCAGGGAAGAAUAAUGACGGUACCUGAGGAAUAAGUCUUGGCUAACUACGUGCCAGCAGCCGCGGUAAUACGUAGGAGGCAAGCGUUAUCCGGAUUUACUGGGCAUAAAGAGUGCGUAGGCGGUUUGGUAAGUCGGAUGUGAAAUCUCCCGGCUUAACCGGGAGGAGUCAUCCGAUACUGUUGAACUAGAGUGCAGCAAGGGGAAGUGGAAUUCCCGGUGUAGUGGUGAUAUGCGUAGAUAUCGGGAGGAACACCAGUGGCGAAGGCGGCUUCCUGGGCUGUUUCUGACGCUGAGGCUCGAAAGUGUGGGGAGCGAACAGGAUUAGAUACCCUGGUAGUCCACACUGUAAACGAUGGACACUAGGUAUGGGGAGUAUCGACCCUCUCUGUGCCGCAGUUAACGCUUUAAGUGUCCCGCCUGGGGACUACGGCCGCAAGGCUAAAACUCAAAGGAAUUGACGGGGGCCCGCACAAGCAGCGGAGCGUGUGGUUUAAUUCGAUGCAACACGAAGAACCUUACCAGGGCUUGACAUGCUGGAAGUAGAAACCUGAAAGGGGGACGACCUGUUAAGUCAGGAGCCAGCACAGGUGCUGCAUGGCUGUCGUCAGCUCGUGCCGUGAGGUGUUGGGUUAAGUCCCGCAACGAGCGCAACCCUCGUUGCCAGUUAAUUUUUCUGGCGAGACUGCCCCGCAAAACGGGGAGGAAGGUGGGGAUGACGUCAAGUCAGCAUGGCCUUUAUGCCCUGGGCUACACACACGCUACAAUGGGCGGUACAACAGGCAGCGAAGGAGCAAUCCGGAGCUAAUCCUACAAAGCCGUCCUCAGUACGGAUUGCAGGCUGAAACUCGCCUGCAUGAAGCUGGAGUUGCUAGUAACCGCGUAUCAGCAUGGCGCGGUGAAUACGUUCUCGGGCCUUGUACACACCGCCCGUCACGUCAUGAGAGUCGGCAACACCUGAAGUCGAUGGGCCAACCCUUCGGGGGAGCAGUCGCCGAGGGUGGGGUCGGCGAUUGGGACGAAGU